rnacentral:lncRNA from 1 species
AGUGGGGGCACAUAGAUACAUAUGCCAUCGGUUUUUUUCUAGAUUUGUUAUUGCACAGUUAUAGUCAGUUGGCUUUCUGAUAAAAUUAACAAAGGAAGUCCAAAUCUUAGCAAAUUUACAGCAUGAUUCAAACAUAAACAGCUAGGCUCAUGAGGAGUCUUUCCUGUAUGAGUCAAUCACAAUCAGACUGAUGCUUAAAAUAGAUCCUGUAGCACUUGGAUGUCAAAGCUGGUGAGAAGAAAUAGUGAGUGGGUAAACUCAAGCGUCAUCUUGUAUGAACAAGGUGUGAGAAUUUUCAUUCAGAGCACCGAAAGUAUCAUCUAUACCUGAUAAGAGGCUUUCACACAGACUGCACUGAAGGUUAAAGGAAUGUUUUAAAGAUUUUUUUAAUUGUAAGAUCUUAGCGACAAAACUUUGUGUGACUUCUUUAUUCUUUAAUUGGAGUGGGGCACCUGUUUACUUGAAUUUUCCCAUAAUAAAAACAUCGUAACGUCAUUCUGCCGCUCAUACCUCAUAUGUGACGUAUUCAUGAAUGAAAACAUGUCAAUCAAACCAUGUGGGAUUUUUUUUUUUUUUUUUUUUUUUUUUUUACGAAACACGGGGAGAUACAAUUUCAGCAACCAUGAGUCUGCAUCCAAUGCCUCACAGAUGAAAGCUCCGAAAUGUUUCAGGACGAAUGGGAAGCUUUGGAAACGUUGCCCGGUCUAGAACUUCUGCCAUCUCGCCUGUCAACUUUGUGCUACCCCAUAAUAAUAACUGUCAGCUGUCAACAACCCGACAACAAAACAGCCUUUUAUCACACUGUUUUGCACUAUGCUUGUCUCGCUAACAACCAUAGUGGCGAGACCCUGAAUGGAGGGAAACACUUGACGAUGAACACUGUGAAUAAGCAUAAAGAUGCUUUUUUGGAUAAUCCAUCUGCUCUCCUACAAGGCCAUGCACAUUGUGUAUGGCCUACAUUGCCAGCUCCAGUGAGGAUCCGGAACAGACAGGACAUUCGUCAUACUCUUCCCUGUCCUCCUUUAUGUGCCCACAGACUUCAAGGAUCGCACGGCAGAAUGACAGCGUCUCUAAUAAUGUUGCUGCAGAGGACAGCAUCCCAGUUCUUCUGCUGUAGGAAACAAGCUGCAGGCCAUUUUGACCUCUCUGACCAUGACUGCUUCCCCCUGUUUUGGCUCUUGGCUCUGGCUGUGAAGUUUAACCUCUAUGUCCUAUUAAUCAGGGGGUGUAGCAGGCCAUCAGAAGCAGCAGUUCGCAGUACAGUAAGAAAAAAUGUAAAAUCAUCACAUUGCAAGUAUUACAAUUCUAGAUCUGUAGGUUGAUGUGGCAUUUUACUGUGAAAGCUUUCAUUCUGAAUCAUGGUGGAUUUUUGUUUUUUUAAUUUUAUGUUUUAAAAUAUUCAAUCAAUCCACAUCAAUCAUGUAUCUGUGCAAUAACUAUGUGCCUGUUUCCUCAUACACACAUGCUAAUGAUUCCCAUCUCGAUUGCAUCGUCUACAUAUGGUGCACCACUGCCCCCCUGUGGAAAACAGUAAAAUAUGAUGGUCUGCAGGAUUUAAUCCUAUCAAUAAAUCUAGUUUGUCAAAAUCCAG